rnacentral:rRNA from 1 species
UUCGCCAGGGAACAACGAGCCCCAGCUUAAAACCCAAAGGACUUGGCGGUGCUUUAGACCCCCCUAGAGGAGCCUGUCCUAGAACCGAUACCCCCCGUUCAACCUCACCCUCUCUUGUUAACCCCGCCUAUAUACCGCCGUCGUCAGCUUACCCUAUGAGGGACUUAUAGUAAGCAAAAUUGAUAAAGCCCAAAACGUCAGGUCGAGGUGUAGCGUACGAGAGGGGAAGAGAUGGGCUACAUUUACUGACCCAGUAAACACGGACAUUGUAUUGAAACAUACAUCUGAAGGAGGAUUUAGCAGUAAGGGGAAGAAUAGAGUGCCCCCCUGAAAACGGCCCUGAAGCGCGCACACACCGCCCGUCACUCUCCCCGACCAACAUCAAAGAUAAAUAAUAAACCUUAAAAAUACUAAGGGGAGGCAAGUCGUAACAUGGUAAGUGUACCGGAAGGUGCACUUGGAAAACC